GUUUACGGCCAUACCACCCUGAACAUGCCCUAUCUCGUCUGAUCUUAGAAGCUAAGCAGGGUCUGGACUGGUUAUUACUUGAAUGGAAGAAAAAUAGCAGUGGUAUGAA
ensembl:rRNA 5S_rRNA 5S ribosomal RNA